rnacentral:rRNA from 1 species
GAUUCAGCGGCGGACGGGUGAGUAAUGCCUAGGAAUCUGCCUGGUAGUGGGGGAUAACGUUCCGAAAGGAACGCUAAUACCGCAUACGUCCUACGGGAGAAAGCAGGGGACCUUCGGGCCUUGCGCUAUCAGAUGAGCCUAGGUCGGAUUAGCUAGUUGGUGGGGUAAUGGCUCACCAAGGCGACGAUCCGUAACUGGUCUGAGAGGAUGAUCAGUCACACUGGAACUGAGACACGGUCCAGACUCCUACGGGAGGCAGCAGUGGGGAAUAUUGGACAAUGGGCGAAAGCCUGAUCCAGCCAUGCCGCGUGUGUGAAGAAGGUCUUCGGAUUGUAAAGCACUUUAAGUUGGGAGGAAGGGCAGUAAGUUAAUACCUUGCUGUUUUGACGUUACCAACAGAAUAAGCACCGGCUAACUUCGUGCCAGCAGCCGCGGUAAUACGAAGGGUGCAAGCGUUAAUCGGAAUUACUGGGCGUAAAGCGCGCGUAGGUGGUUCAGCAAGUUGGAUGUGAAAGCCCCGGGCUCAACCUGGGAACUGCAUCCAAAAGCUGGCGAGCUAGAGUACGGUAGAGGGUGGUGGAAUUUCCUGUGUAGCGGUGAAAUGCGUAGAUAUAGGAAGGAACACCAGUGGCGAAGGCGACCACCUGGACUGAUACUGACACUGAGGUGCGAAAGCGUGGGGAGCAAACAGGAUUAGAUACCCCCUGGUAGUCCACGCCGUAAACGAUGUCGACUAGCCGUUGGGAUCCUUGAGAUCUUAGUGGC